rnacentral:rRNA from 1 species
GAGUUUGAUCAUGGCUCAGAUUGAACGCUGGCGGCAUGCCUUACACAUGCAAGUCGAACGGCAGCACGGGAGCUUGCUCCUGGUGGCGAGUGGCGAACGGGUGAGUAAUGCAUCGGAACGUAUCCUGGAGUGGGGGAUAACGUAGCGAAAGUUACGCUAAUACCGCAUAUUCUGUGAGCAGGAAAGCGGGGGACCUUCGGGCCUCGCGCUCUUGGAGCGGCCGAUGUCGGAUUAGCUAGUUGGUGAGGUAAAGGCUCACCAAGGCGACGAUCCGUAGCAGGUCUGAGAGGAUGAUCUGCCACACUGGAACUGAGACACGGUCCAGACUCCUACGGGAGGCAGCAGUGGGGAAUUUUGGACAAUGGGGGCAACCCUGAUCCAGCCCAUGCCGCGUGAGUGAAGAAGGCCUCGGUU